AUAUUGUACAAUGGGGGCAACCCUGAUCCAGCUAUGCCGCGUGUGUGAAGAAGGUCUUCGGAUUGUAAAGCAGUUUUAGUUGGGAGGAAGGGCAUUAGGUUAAUACCGUGAAGUUUUGACGUUACAAACAGAAUAAGCCACGGCUAACCAUGUUCAGUCAGCCGCGGUAAUACAGAGGUUGCAAGCGUUCAUCGGAAUUACUGGUAGUAAAGCGCGCGUAGGUGGUUCAGUAAGAUGGGUGUGAAAUCCCCGGGCUUAACCUGGGAACUGCUUUCAGAACUGCUGAGCUAGAGUACGGUAGAGGGUAGUGGAAUUUCCUGUGUAGCGGUGAAAUGCGUAGAUAUAGGAAGGAACACCAGUGGCGAAGGCGACUACCUGGACUGAUACUGACACUGAGGUGCGAAAGCGUGGGGAGCAAAC
rnacentral:rRNA from 1 species